UACAGAGGUCUCAAGCGUUGUUCGGAUUCAUUGGGCGUAAAGGGUGCGUAGGUGGCGCUGUAAGUCGGGUGUGAAAUUUCGGAGCUUAACUCCGAAACUGCAUUCGAUACUGCGGUGCUUUGAGGACUGGAGAGGAGACUGGAAUUCAUGGUGUAGCAGUGAAAUGCGUAGAGAUCAUGAGGAAGACCAGUGGCGAAGGCGGGUCUCUGGACAGUUCCUGACACUGAGGCACGAAGGCCAGGGGAGCAAACGGG
rnacentral:rRNA from 1 species